rnacentral:rRNA from 1 species
GACGAACGCUGGCGGCGUGCCUAAUACAUGCAAGUCGAACGCAGUGGGGACGGGUGAGUAACACGUGGGUAACCUCCCAUCAGAGGGGAUAACACUUGGAAACAGGUGCUAAACCGAUACUGAUGUAGUGACCCGCGGUGGAUUAGCUAGGUGGUGAGGUAAAGGCUCACCAAGGCCACGAUGCAUAGCCGAACUGAGAGUGUGAUCGGCCACACUGGGACUGAGACACGGCCCAGACUCCUACGGGAGGCAGCAGUAGGGAAUCUUCGGCAAUGGGCGAAAGUCUGACCGAGCCACGCCGCGUGAGUGAAGAAGGUCUUCGGAUCGUAAAACUCUUUUGUUAGAGAAGCGGUAUCUAACCAGAAAGCCCCGGCUAACUACGUGCCAGCAGCCGCGGUAAUUC